rnacentral:rRNA from 1 species
UACGUAGGGUGCGAGCGUUAAUCAGAAUUACUGGGCGUAAAGAGUGCGUAGGCGGAUAUCCAAGUUAGAUGUGAAAUACCCGGGCUCAACCUGGGGGAGCCAUAUAAUACUGGAUAACUAGAGUUUGUCAGAGGGGGGUAGAAUUCCAGGUGUAGCAGUGAAAUGCGUAGAGAUCUGGAGGAAUACCGAAGGCGAAGGCAGCCCCCUGGGAUAAGACUGACGCUGAGGUACGAAAGCGUGGGUAGCAAACAGG